rnacentral:rRNA from 1 species
UACGUAGGGGCCUAGCGUUGUCCGGAUUUAUUGGGCGUAAAGAGCUCGUAGGCGGUUUGGUGAGUCGGGUGUGAAAUCUCCACGCUCAACGUGGAGGGGCCACCCGAUACUGCCAUGACUAGAGUCCGGUAGGGGAGUGUGGAAUUCCCGGUGUAGCGGUGAAAUGCGCAGAUAUCGAGAGGAACACCUGUGGCGAAGGCGGCCUUCUGGACGGUGACUGACGCUGAGACGCGAAAGCGUGGGGAGCAAACAGG